CUGCUAUUAUUACCUGUGCCGUCAGAGGUUAAUACCUCCGCUACAAUAAAAAUGUUGGAAACCAGCCUGUGGGGAGGCCGUCGAAGUGCCGCGUUGGUGGUAUUCUCUUUCGUUCGUCAUACCCUGGCGGGGUAGUUCCAGUGUUCCUGAAGAAGUCCAUCAUCAAUCGGGACUUCGGCUGGUCAAGUUGAGCCCUCUAGCGGCAUGUACAUGUACGAAAGCUAGUCCGAUGACUCAGGAUAUCUCCUAUAUUCCAGAUUGUCCUCCAACCGGUCCAUGACGCACAUGCCCUGUGGUGUCAUUUUGUGGGCCUAGAUGACAGAUGGGUGAGCAGCAAGAGAGUAGUUAUUCCCUUUAGGCGGUGCCCGGGUCUAUAAGAGAC
rnacentral:sRNA from 1 species